rnacentral:rRNA from 1 species
AUUGAACGCUGGCGGAAUGCUUUACACAUGCAAGUCGAACGGCAGCACGGACUUCGGUCUGGUGGCGAGUGGCGAACGGGUGAGUAAUACGUCGGAACGUGCCCAGUCGUGGGGGAUAACGUAGCGAAAGCUACGCUAAUACCGCAUACGAUCUAAGGAUGAAAGCGGGGGAUCGCAAGACCUCGCGCGAUUGGAGCGGCCGAUGGCAGAUUAGGUAGUUGGUGGGGUAAAGGCUCACCAAGCCGACGAUCUGUAGCUGGUCUGAGAGGACGACCAGCCACACUGGGACUGAGACACGGCCCAGACUCCUACGGGAGGCAGCAGUGGGGAAUUUUGGACAAUGGGCGCAAGCCUGAUCCAGCCAUUCCGCGUGCAGGAUGAAGGCCCUCGGGUUGUAAACUGCUUUUGUACGGAACGAAAAGGCUCUGGUUAAUACCUGGGGCUCAUGACGGUACCGUAAGAAUAAGCACCGGCUAACUACGUGCCAGCCGCCGCGGUAAGAC